rnacentral:rRNA from 1 species
GUAUAAAUGGUAUACAGUGAAACUGCGAAUGGCUCAUUAAAACAGUUAUAGUUUAUUUGGUAAUCGAAUUUACAUGGAUAACCGUGGUAAUUCUAGAGCUAAUACAUGCUGUAAGCCCGACUUUUCGGAAGGGCCGUAUUUAUUAGAUAACAGACCAAUGCCCCCCCGGGCUUUGUGGUGACUCAUAGUAACUAAUCGGAUCGCAUGGGCCUGUCCCGCGACAAACCAUUCAAGUUUCUGCCCCAUCAGCUUUCGAUGGUAGUGUAUUGGACUACCAUGGCUUUUACGGGUAACGGAGGAUUAGGGUUCGAUUCCGGAGAGGGAGCCUGAGAAACGGCUACCACAUCUAAGGAAGGCAGCAGGCGCGUAAAUUACCCAAUCCUAAUUCAGGGAGGUAGUGACAAGAAAUAAUGGGUCGGAACUAACGUUCCGGGACCGCAAUGAGAUGAAUUUACACCCCUUUUCGAGGAUCAAUUGG